rnacentral:piRNA from 1 species
CCAACAAUGGAAACAGCAACAGGUGA